rnacentral:rRNA from 1 species
GGCUCAGAAUCAACGCUGGCGGCGUGCCUAACACAUGCAAGUCGAACGCGAAAGUGGAGCAAUCCAUCAGUAGAGUGGCAAACGGGUGAGUAACGCGUGGGCGACCUACCUUCGAGUGGGGGAUAACCUUCCGAAAGGAGGGCUAAUACCGCAUAACAUCCUCUGUUUAGAUACAGGGCAAUCAAAGUCGGGGAUCGCAAGACCUGACGCUUGAAGAGGGGCCCGCGUCCGAUUAGCUAGUUGGUGAGGUAACGGCUCACCAAGGCUCCGAUCGGUAUCCGGCCUGAGAGGGCGGACGGACACACUGGAACUGAGACACGGUCCAGACUCCUACGGGAGGCAGCAGUGGGGAAUUGUUCGCAAUGGGCGCAAGCCUGACGACGCAACGCCGCGUGGAGGAUGAAGACCUUCGGGUCGUAAACUCCUUUCGACCGAGAUGAAUUCCUGUCGGCCUAACAUGCCGGCGGGUUGACAGUAUCGAGGGAAGCAGCCCCGGCUAACUCCGUGCCAGCAGCCGCGGUAAUACGGGGGGGGCAAGCGUUGUUCGGAAUUACUGGGCGUAAAGGGUCUGUAGGUGGCUCGCUAAGUCAGACGUGAAAUCCCUCAGCUUAACUGAGGAACUGCGUCUGAGACUGAUGAGCUCGAGUGCAGGAGAGGAAUGCGGAAUUCCAGGUGUAGCGGUGAAAUGCGUAGAUAUCUGGAGGAACACCGGUGGCGAAGGCGGCAUUCUGGACUGCAACUGACACUGAGAGACGAAAGCCAGGGGAGCAAACGGGAUUAGAUACCCCGGUAGUCCUGGCCCUAAACGAUGAAUGCUUGGUGUGGCGGGUAUCGAUCCCUGCCGUGCCGGAGUUAACGCGUUAAGCAUUCCGCCUGGGGAGUACGGUCGCAGGCUG